rnacentral:rRNA from 1 species
AGUGAACGCUGGCGGUAGGCCUAACACAUGCAAGUCGAACGGCAGCACAGUAAGAGCUUGCUCUUACGGGUGGCGAGUGGCGGACGGGUGAGGAAUACAUCGGAAUCUACUUUUUCGUGGGGGAUAACGUAGGGAAACUUACGCUAAUACCGCAUACGACCUACGGGUGAAAGCAGGGGACCUUCGGACCUUGCGCGAGUGAAUGAGCCGAUGUCGGAUUAGCUAGUUGGCGGGGUAAAGGCCCACCAAGGCGACGAUCCGUAGCUGGUCUGAGAGGAUGAUCAGCCACACUGGAACUGAGACACGGUCCAGACUCCUACGGGAGGCAGCAGUGGGGAAUAUUGGACAAUGGGCGCAAGCCUGAUCCAGCCAUACCGCGUGGGUGAAGAAGGCCUUCGGGUUGUAAAGCCCUUUUGUUGGGAAAGAAAAGCAGCAGGUUAAUACCCCGCUGUUCUGACGGUACCCAAAGAAUAAGCACCGGCUAACUUCGUG